GUUUUGUUUUCAAAAAUCAACAAAUUCUUAUAAUUUUCAUAUUGUGUUUAAAUUUAUAAAAUUCUGAUGUUCCAUAUUUAUAGUGGUUUUACUGAUAUACCUAAAUGUUUAUACAGUUUUUUGAACUUUAUGUUUGAGUUUGAGUUAUGUUUUAAGAAUUGUAAAAUGUUUCAAAAUACGUUUGAUUUAAUAUUUGGUAAAAUAAAGAAGUAAAUCUUUACAAUGGAGUCAAAACCUGAGGCUGCACAGAAUCUUCUCUGCAUGGCUUGUCUGUGUGUGGAAAAGGCGUUACACGAAUUAAAAUCACUUGAUAUUAUCAAGUAUUAUUUGAAUUGCAUUAGUGAAAUUUCUCUCAGUGUUACACCGAAGUCUAUAACAAUAUGUUGGGAAUGUGAAGCUAUGUUAAAGAGAGCUGUCACCUUUAGAGAACAAGUAAAGGACUCCUACAGGAUACUCCAGACUUAUACUAGUGAGAAUCUUGCAGAGCGUCUCUUAUCAGAUGUUUCCAGACCUCCUAGAUUAAAAAUGUUUGCCAAUGAGAAUAUUAACAUUGUACCAGAGAAUACUGAAUGGAUUAAAACAUGGAGAAAAAUUGAAUAUGUUAAAGAUGAAUUGAAAAUUGAAGAUGAUAAUUCAACAAGGAAUCACUUGGAAGAGGUAGAUGUUCUUAUAUCAGAUAAUUCUGAUAUAGAAGAAAACAGCAGACUUACUAAGAUAUCUAAUAUUAAGAAUAAUGAAAAGACUGAUAUAUAUGGAAUAAACGACAAAAAUACAAACAGACCUAAAGAAUUACAGAUUGUAUGUGUUAAAGAUGAAUUGAAAGUUGAAUUUGACAAAGAUUUAGAAGAAUAUUCAGACACAAAAGAUUGUUUGUCAGAUUGUUCUGAUUCAGAACUGGAAAGCGAAUUACAGAAGUUUAUAAGCGCGAAGAAGAAUAAAAAGAGUAAAAGAGAUAAAGGUAUUAAGAAGAGAAGAAAGUUGAAGCGUAAUUCUAAAAAGUUAUCAGAUGAGAAUGACAAAAAAAUUAUACCAAUAAAAUUGACGUAUGAAGAAAUGUUGUUAGAAAGAGAGAAAGGGAAAGAAAAGGAUGUGUUUAGAAAAGCCAAAUAUAAAUGUGAAAACUGCAUUAUUGGAUUUAAUAGUAAUAAAACAUAUAACACACAUAUAAUGAACAAACAUACAGCGGAAUUGGGUAAACAUAAAUGUCCAAUAUGUAGUACUAUAAUAUCUACGUUGGAUUCAUUUACAGAACAUUGUAAAAGACAUUUUAGAAGAUACGAGUGUGUGAUCUGUCAGAAGCGCACCAUAGACAAGAAGUCCAUAGAGCAACAUUAUUAUACAAAUCAUGAAAUGUCUUUGAAGGAAUAUCGAUGUGAAUUAUGCGGGAAAAUAUCUAAGUCAAUAGACAGCCACCGAUAUCAUACAGAUAGUCAUAAAUCCCGAGUGCAGUGCACAGACUGCGAGAAAACAUUCAGUCAUAGAGCAGGCCUCGUCAAUCAUAGACUGGCUGUACACGAAUUACAGAACACAUUUCCAUGUACAGUUUGUGAUAAAGUGUUCCGUUGGAAGACCAGUUUGAAACGACAUUUAGAAAAACAUGAUGCUAAGACGAAACCUACAAAUAAUGGGGCAGCAUUUUGUGUUACUUGUAGUAUAGAGUUUUCAUCGAUUUGUUCAUACAAAAGACAUUUAAGAAAUAGUUUGAAGCAUGUAACAAGAGAUCAACUCAAAUUUAUUUGCGACCAUUGCAAAAAACGUUUCGCCGACAAAACUAAACUAAGAGACCAUAUAGAAGAUAAGCAUUUACAUAAAGUAUAUAACUGUCAUAUAUGUAAUAAGGCGACAAAGAAUCGUGUUGGACUAGACCAACAUAUAAGAUAUGUACACCGAGACAGACCCAAUAAUAAAAUGUGUCAUUACUGCGGUAAAGGAUUUCCAACUAAAGUUCAAUUAGAAUCCCAUAUUCGUACGCAUACAGGGGAAAGACCUUUUAUAUGUGAAUAUUGUCCAACAACAUUCUCACAGAAAUCCAACUUGUAUAAACAUAAUAGACAGGUACAUUUGAAUAUAAAAACUAAAAGAUACAGUCUCUGUAAGAAGAGAAAAGAAGAUAAGAAAGAUUCUUCGACAGAAGAUAAAGUAAAUGACCAGAAAAGUUGUCCAGAAUUGUUUAUUUCUAAAGGGAAUAAUGAUCAAUUUAUUGCUAUAUUCUACUUCUGUGACGUGAUCCGUUGACUUUUUGGAGAAUCUACUCACCAAGCAGAGAAUUCAAAAUGGCGUGCACUGGAAUUGUCAAAAGCUUCUGUUGCGAUAUUAUCUAAAAAAUACUUCGCAAUUAGACAAAUAAAACGCUAACCGAAAAUUACAUAACUUUCCAG